UCCUAGCUUCUUAUAAUGUACAGACUAUCAUUUUCUCUACCAAUCAUUUUCACCUUUCCAGUGAAGAUCUCCUGAAAAAUACAAAAAUUAGGGAAGAAAGCUACUAAGCACCUCAACUCUUUUGUCAAUUUAGAUACUGAAAGAAGAUUAAACUUGAACUGAGGGAUAUAAAACAUAUUAGUUACUAUGCUUCUAUUUGAUAUUGUAUUGGCUCCAGUGUGAGUCACUUGUGUUGCAUCCCCAUUAGGCAUGAAGACUCUUUUUGGAUGCUGAACUUGCACUAUAGUAGACUUAUCCAACAAACCUAUAUCUGCUACCAUGUGAUCGGUAGCACCAAUAUCUAUUAUCCAUUUAAAGUACUUGGAUGUACCUGCUAUAUUUGCACUAGAGGUUUGCCCUGUAUGCCCUGUAUUGUUGUUGUUUAACAGCUGUAGGAUCUGUUCAUAUUGCUCUUUAGUAAAAAUGCAACUUGCUAGCUGGCCUUGUAGAUUGAGUUGACUGUUUAUUUUUUGACUCGUAGACUGAUUUCCAGCUCUAUUAUCCCAUACAGUUGAUCAAACAUAUUUCUAGUAGACUGAUUAUUCUGUAUGCUAUUCUGUAUACUAUCCUUAUUUUGAACAUUGUAUGCCACUGCAUUAUUAGAUCUUGAAUUUCCAUUAUUUUCAGCCAUUGAGUUGUAAUUUCCAGCUCCCCUUUCUUUCUGAGUUUAAAUUCUGGGGAAUAUCCCACAAUCUUAUAACAAUUUUCUUUGGUGUGAUCUUUGAGUUUGCAAUAAUCACACUGGACAUUAUAAUUUUUCCUUACUUUCUGAUUAAACCUUUGAUUUUCCCGUAUUAUUGAGUACAUAGCUACAUCAUAUUGAUCAGACAUAUUUGUUGGAUUUGCACCUAACAGCCUUGCUGAGGCUGCUACUGUUUUUUGACUUUCAUCACUUAUUACCAAAGCAUAUGCCUGAUAAACUGAAGGCAUUAAACUCAUUAGCAAGAUUUGACUUCUUGCUUGACUGGAUGAGUCAUUCAACCCUAUCAAGAAUUGAUUCAUUUUAGCUUCUAUAGAUGUAUUACAAAGUCCCUUGACAUUGCACAAUCACAACCAGGGGAUGUGACCAAAGCUUCAAAUUCUUCCCACAAAUCCAUUAACUUUGAAAAAUAGACAGAAACAGAAGCAGUUCCUUGACUUAAAGUGGCGAUUUCUUUGUGAAGAUUAAACGAUCUUGCACUAUAAAUUUUGUUAAAUCGUUCGAAUAAAUCAUUUCACACAGCUUAUGUACUUGACGCAUACAUAAUUCCACCUAGUAAUUCACUAGCCACCGAAUUCAUAAUCCAAGAAAGAACUAUAACAUUAACUCUUUUCCAGUGAUUCCCAAAUUUUCUGGAAAUUUAUCUUUAGUACAAGUACCAUCUACUAACCACAUUAUUCCUCCCUAAUAGAGCUACCCUAAUUGAUCUAAACUAAAUCGAGUAGUUUUCAAUACUUGUCAGCUGAAACGAGAUAAUCUGGAUGCCACUGACAUCUGUUGGAGACAAAAAAAAUGGGUGAUUGUAAUCUACCUUAGCCAUUUGAUUUACUCCUAUCAUCGUAGAAGGAAUUGGAGUUGUUGCAUGUGUUUCAUUUGUUAGAUCCAGUGGAAUCGCCAUUGUUGACCAAGAAACUCAAGAUUUCAAUCGUGAAAAUACAACCCAGAAAUGUGAACAACUGAUUUGAUUGUGUCAGAAUGGAACCACACUAGAAUUUCUAUCUAUAGCUCUGAUACCAUGAAAUUGUG
rnacentral:lncRNA from 1 species